rnacentral:rRNA from 1 species
UACGGGGGGAGCAAGCGUUGUUCGGAUUUACUGGGCGUAAAGGGCGCGUAGGCGGCCACCGCAAGUCGAUUGUGAAAUCUCCGGGCUUAACCCGGAAAGGUCAACCGAUACUGCGGGGCUAGAGUGCGGAAGGGGCAACUGGAAUUCUUGGUGUAGCGGUGAAAUGCGUAGAUAUCAAGAGGAACACCUGCGGCGAAGGCGGGUUGCUGGGCCGACACUGACGCUGAUGCGCGAAAGCGUGGGGAGCAAACAGG